CCCUUAGAUGUUCUGGGCCGCACGCGCGCUACACUGAUACAUGCAACGAGUUUAUAACCUUGAUCUGACGGUCUGGGUAAUCUUCAAACUGUAUCGUGUUAGGGAUCGAUUCUUGCAAUUUUUAAUCGUAAACGAGGAAUUCCUAGUAAACGCAAGUCAUCAGCUUGCAUUGAUUCCGUCCCUGCCCUUUGUACACACCGCCCGUCGACUCUACCGAUUGAAUGGUUCGGUGAAAACUUUGGACUGUGGCAUUGUCCUUCAUUGGACUUCGCCGUAGGAAAUUGUUUAAACCUCAUCAUUUAGAGGAAGAAUAAGUCGUAACA
rnacentral:rRNA from 1 species